rnacentral:lncRNA from 1 species
UGAAAGCAUACGCUGCAGCUAGCUAGCACUGCAGUGCAUACAAUGUGGUGAGUGGUUGACUCAAAGAGAGAGAAAGACAAUAGUUGAACAGUUUUGAACAAAUACAUUUCUUCCAAAAUUAAGGAGAAGCAAGAGAGAGAGAAGUAGCUAUAUUUUUUUUUUUUUUUACUUUCACUUUCACUUAGCUAGCUGAAUGCAGCUAGCUAGCUUAACCUACUCCAACACCUGGCUCAAACAGAGGGAUGCUAUGUUAGCUAGCUGGCUAUGGCUAUCCAACACUGGAACUCUUCCAAGUCAAGUAACACUACGGAGCAGCGAGGAGGAGAGGAACAACAAGGAACAACAGACAUAUCUCUACGACGUUGUAUUUGUCCUUUGAAGAGGAAGAAGAAUAGAAAGAGGACUGGCAGCAUCAAGAAGAAUGGAAGAAUUGCAUAGGAGCAAUUGGACCUGUUGUAGGAGGAACUUGUAGGAGCAGCUCUAUUGUAUUAUUCAAACAGAAACAUUCAAACAGAAUAUAUUCCCCCUCAGCUAUCCCCAUC